rnacentral:rRNA from 1 species
GAAGGGGAGCUUGCUCCCCGGAUUCAGCGGCGGACGGGUGAGUAACACGUGGGCAACCUGCCUGUAAGAUCGGGAUAACUCCGGGAAACCGGGGCUAAUACCGGAUGGGUCCUUCCUCCGCAUGGAGGAAGGCGGAAAGACGGUUUCGGCUGUCACUUACAGAUGGGCCCGCGGCGCAUUAGCUAGUUGGUGGGGUAACGGCCUACCAAGGCGACGAUGCGUAGCCGACCUGAGAGGGUGAUCGGCCACACUGGGACUGAGACACGGCCCAGACUCCUACGGGAGGCAGCAGUAGGGAAUCUUCCGCAAUGGACGAAAGUCUGACGGAGCAACGCCGCGUGAGCGAAGAAGGCCUUCGGGUCGUAAAGCUCUGUUGUAAGGGAAGAACAAGCGCCGGUUAACUGCCGGUGCCCUGACGGUACCUUACCAGAAAGCCACGGCUAACUACGUGCCAGCAGCCGCGGUAAUACGUAGGUGGCAAGCGUUGUCCGGAAUUAUUGGGCGUAAAGCGCGCGCAGGCGGUUUCUUAAGUCUGAUGUGAAAGCCCACGGCUCAACCGUGGAGGGUCAUUGGAAACUGGGAGACUUGAGUGCAGAAGAGGAAAGCGGAAUUCCACGUGUAGCGGUGAAAUGCGUAGAGAUGUGGAGGAACACCAGUGGCGAAGGCGGCUUUCUGGUCUGUAACU